UUUCUCUCAGGAUAGCUGGAAUACAUAAUGAAGCUUUUAUAUUCGUAAAGCGAAUGAUUAGAGGAUUUGUGGGAUGAAAUGUUUUCAACCUGUUUUAAAACUUCCAAUGAGUUCAAAGUCUUUUUGCUUGAAUGAAGCGCAGACAUUGAAUGUGUGCUCCAAGCGGUCGUUUUUGGUAAACAGAAAUAUGUGCA
rnacentral:ncRNA from 1 species